UUUCGCAAUGCCCGAAAGGGUGACGAAGCGACGCCGCGUGAGUGAGGAAGGCCUUCGGGUUGUAAAGCUCUGUCAGGAGUUAAGAAAUAUAAGUGUGCUAAUACCACAUUUAUUUGACAAAAGCUCCAAAGGAAGCCACGGCUAACUCUGUGCCAGCAGCCGCGGUAAUACAGAGGUGGCGAGCGUUGUUCGGAGUUAUUGGGCGUAAAGAGCACGUAGGUGGGUUUGUAAGUCAGAUGUGAAAGCCUUCUGUUCAACGGAAGAAUUGCAUCUGAAACUGCGAGUCUUGAGUGUAGGAGGGGAGAAUGGAACUUCUGGUGGAGCGGUGAAAUGCGUAGAUAUCAGAAGGAACGCCGGCGGCGAAAGCGAUUCUCUGGCCUAUUACUGACACUCAGUGUGCGAAAGCUAGGGGAGCAAACGGGAUUAGAUACCCCGGUAGUCCUAGCUGUAAACGAUGGGCACUAAGUAGAGGGGUUUUA
rnacentral:rRNA from 1 species